rnacentral:lncRNA from 1 species
UUUUUUUUUUUUUUUUUUUUUUUUUUUUUUAUGAUAGUCACACAGAGAGAGAGAGGCAGAGACACAGGCAGAGGGAGAAGCAGGCUCCAUGCACCAGGAGCCCGAUGUGGGACUCGAUCCCGGGUCUCCAGGAUCGCGCCCUGGGCCAAAGGCAGGCGCCAAACCGCUGCGCCACCCAGGGAUCCCAAAAUUUUUUAAAGUUUAAAAAAAAAUAAAUCAUUUGAGGUCCUGAUGGGGUGCGGGGUCCAUGGCUAUAUAUUGAGUGUGUGAAAAUUCACAGAGCUAAACACUUAAGCUAUGCUCCUCUUCCUGGUAUACACACUAAGUAAUACUUCAAUAAAGGUUUUGUUGAACGGCAUCUCUGUCAUGUCUCCCAGACCCCUACCCCUUCACAAAACAUGAGGUCCAAGCUUCUUAACAGCUUGGGGUCCCAUACCACCCCAUUCCCACAUAUUCCUUUAUUCCUCCUCCCAGGCCAGCGAGCACUAAGCCUGCAGGACACGAUGCCCUUCCAGACCGCCAGGCCUGGCCCCAGGUGUGUGGCCACCCUGACCGGAGCCACGGUACAUGUGGCCGCUGACCCUGGACCCUAUCACUACCUCCACGUGUGGCUGCAGAUCCUGGACCCCGUCACUGCCCCUCACGCGGCGCUGACCCUGGACGCUGUCACUACUGCUCAUGUGGCCGCUGACCCUGGACCCUGUCACUGCCCUUCACAGGGCCGCUGACCCAGGAGACCCCGUCACUGCCACUCAGUGGCCGCUGACCCUGGAGACCCUGUCACUGCUCCUCACGGGGCCGCUGACCCUUGAACCCGUCACUGCCCCUCACGGGGCUGCUGACCCCUGACCCCAUCACUGCCCUUCACGUGGCUCUGACCCUGGACCCCGUCACUGCCCCUCACGGGCCGCUGACCCUGGACCCCGUCACUGCCCCUCACAGGCCGCUGACCCUGGACCCCGUCACUGCCCCACACGUGGCUCUGACCCUGGACGCCGUCACUGCCCCUCACGUGGCCGCAGAUCCUGGACGCCGUCACUGGCCCUCACGUGGCGCUGACUCUGGACCCCGUCACUGCCCCUCACGGGCCGCUGACCCUGUCACCACCCUACGUGCGGGUGCUGGCCCUGGAGCCGCGCCCGUGCCCACAUAGGCCUGGCAAGCGGCAGACAAGGUUCCCAAACAUGGCGGGAAGAACGGGGAUUCCGUGCGUUCCUUACAUCCAUCGCUGUGCUGAAACGACAGUGUUGCGGAUACUGUGGCUUAAAAGUGAAACGCGUCAGUAGAAGUAACGUCACCUGUUCUUUCCGCCGCAGCCUGCAGACCUUCCCAGACUCCCGCCGGGCGCGCCGGCCACAGCACCCCGCCGCAGGGCGAGCCCCAGGGCCGGCGGCCGCAGGAGGAAGCGGGCGAGCGCCUCCCC